CCCCCCGGAUGCUCUGAUCACAUCAGUGGAGAUGGACCAGUGGAGAGAUGCGGCCGCUCGGUCGUCCUGCUAGCGGGUGGACUCGCCACUGCCUGUUCUUCUGACUUUAAAGCGCACGGCUCACGGGUGCCUUGCUUUACAUCUACCUUUUCGGCGGAGACUGGUCCGUACCCCGAGGGGUAGAACGGCCCCCAACCAGAACCCUAAAGAGAGAGUGCGCUCUGAGAAAGGGUAUUCAUCUCUCUCUCUCUCUCUCUCUCUCUCUCUCUCUCUCUCUCGUGUUCAUGUAGAGUUCUUCUGUUCAUCCCUCUGAGAUUCCGAGGUAUGUGAAUGUUUUAUUUUAGCGGUUUCUCUGUCAGUAACUGUUGCCUUGGUAUUCCUUGUUUGAUCUAUUCGUCCUCGCUUUUUCUCCCCCUCGUUCGCCUCUUGUUCUGCUGCUGUGGUUGUUUGGCGAAGCGGUCGAUGUCGAAUCGCAGAAAUUUUUUGAGAUCGAACAGCUUUGUGUGCUGCGAUUUGGUGAUCCCGUUCUGGUGCGGUUGUUCGCUCUAAAACUGUUUCUCCUCUUCCUUUUUACUGAAAUGAUUGCCGAUCGGAUCGUUUUCUUCCCGGUGAAGUUCGUCGUUGUCUGCAUUUGGCGUUUUGGAGGAAGAACAGAAGAUGCCGAGAUCUUUAAUUCUUCCAUUCUGAUGCAUUUCUGGUAGAACCCUAAUCUGCUGCUUCGACAUGAUUAUUUCGAGGUUUGAUCCGUGUGUGUCAGGAUAUAGUCACCUCCCUCAGAAAUCCGAGAGAAUCUGCCAUUUACAUCGGGAUCUUCCUUCUGUUUAGGCAUCGAUUCGAAGACGACAACCAUUUCGGUGUUCUUGGAGUGCGAAACUCACCAGG
rnacentral:lncRNA from 1 species